rnacentral:lncRNA from 1 species
AGAACAGAUAUAAGGUCUAAUUCUUGGCAGUCUCAGUGUUCAGGGUUAAACAGAACCAUGUGACUGUCUAUGAACAGUACAAGGUAAGCAUUUGCAUGCAUGUUAUUUCAGGUUGAACCAAGCAGAAGUCCCCAUCUCUCCAUUCUGCUUUAGCAAUUAUGGACAGAGGCCAUAAGCAAAUUAUAAAUAUACUGUUAUUAAGCCACUGAGAUUUGGAAGGUAUCUAUAAUUAAUUUGGAAUUAAUCUAUAAUAAUCACUGGAUGCCUUUUCUGUCAUAGAGAAAACAAGGAAUCUCUCGGUCCAUCCUGUAUGUCUUUAAGCAUUUUCCAUCUUAGUUUUCCUUUAUUUCCUCUCAUAAAAUUUUCAACUGAAAGUGUUGUGCUCAUGGUCAGUUCCUUUAGCAAUGGUUUUGUGACUCUAUUUCCUUCUAGCCUGUGUGACUGACUCUGCCUUCCAUAUAAGCCAUAGGAUGUUGGCUUAUAAAUAUUUAUAACUUCUUAUGCUAGUAUUGCACAUUAUGUGCCUUUCCUCCUCCAAGCAUUUUAAAUAUAUCUACUUAUAAUUUUUAGAUAGUUGCAUUGUUUCACCCCUGGCAUGAUUACGCUCUCUCCGUGUAGGCUGUCUUUCCUGGCACUUUCCCAGGAUGGUAUUGGAGUUUUCACUUGCUAGAUAAUGUUAUGGAGAGAGAUCUGUGUUGUUGCUCUGAAGUUUGGUUUGGGUUUUGGUUUUCAGCCUCUUCCUGUCGAGCUCUUAUAUCUUGCCUGACUGGUUCUGCUGUUCACUUAUCCAGCUCUCUUCAGUUUGGAGCUGCCUCUGCCUACAUCCUGGCUUUCAGAUCCUGCUAUACUGAUAUAUUGUAGUGAUAUAUUUCUCUAGCUCAGUCUACAAAUGUUGAUCCAUGCCCAGGAUGCGCACCAGUGCUGACUCCCACACAUUACCUGGCUGAAGUUUAAGUAGUUUCAACAUUGAUAUGAUGUUUAUUUUUUGUUAACUUGACACAAAUUAGACACCUGGGAGACUGAAGCUCAGCUGAGGAAUUGUUCUGUUCUAUUGUUCCAUCAAAUUGUUCUGUGGGCACAUCUCUGAGACACUUUUCUUAAUUGCAGCAGGCCCCAGCCACUGAACAUGGUACAUCGCUAGGCAAGUAGGCCUGGACUGUAUAAGAAAAGUGGUUGAGCAAGCCAGUGUACAUCAUUCUUCAUGUUUUGUGCUUUACUUCCUGCCUCCAACUUCCUGCCUUGAACAUGUGUCCUAGCUUCUCUAUCUCUCUUUUUUAUUCUUUAAUCAUUUUUUACAGCCCAGUCUUUAUGUCCCUCCCAGUCUGUGUGCUUACUGUUUCACAUCCCAUACCUCCUUCUCAUCCUUAUCUCCAAGAGGAUAAUCCCACCUCCCCAACAUCCCACUCCCACCACAUCAGACCUCCCCACUCCCUGGGGCCUCAAGUCUCUUGAGGGUUAGGUGCAUCUUCUCUCACUGAGUCGAGACCCAGCAGUCGUCUGCUGUAUGAUGAACAGUAACCUUUAGGCUGAAAAAACUGCCCCACAAAUCAUUUCUGUCAGUGUCUUAUCCAAGCAGACGCAAGUGAAGUAGAACACUUACAUAGUGGUCACUACUUUGUAGUACUUUCUUUAAUAAGUCAGGGUGACUGAACCCAACCUGGAGUUUCUGGCUUGGUCCCCUGACAUAAGUGAAACAUGUAUCACACUGCCCUAAAAUUUCUUUUUAUUUUUAGAAGCUUUUGAUGAUUGCAUUCCUAUUCCAUGAUGUUUAUCUUCUUACUGGGUAUAACACUUUCUAACAUAAUAUUAUCUUCUAAAUUAUUGUGCAUAUAUAUCACGUGAUAUAUAUUCAUAAUCAUAUUUAUGUAUGUGUAUAUUUCUUGGCCUUUUCUAGGUUUAGAUCAAAAAGAGUACUUUAGCCUAAACUCUUGAUUACAUCUUAAUAAGAAGGGGAAAAAAAAUCUUCAUUUAAAUGAGAUUAACCUGUGGGUUCUCAUAUGAUCCUUCUCUGACUGCAAAUUAUAGAUAUUCAAUUUCAUCUGAUUUCCUACCAAUGUCUUUGACUUAAUUCAUUAAUGCAAAAAUUUGGUGUGUGGCAAGACACUUGACGGUGUCCAAGAGGGCAAGGCUGUGCCCUGUAGAGAACCCUUAAAUAGGCUUUCCACUCAGCUCUUCCCUUUCUCUCGGAGGAGCAUGGAGUAACACAGCUUAUCAGUCUUCUCAUAUUUGGCAUCUUUAUAUUAGUUUUCUUUUCUUUACUCUUGAUUCAGUGAUAUUUGUAAUGAUAAUUUAAUGGAAAAAUACAUGUGGAUAUAUGAGAAUGUUAGGGUGACAUUAUUUAAUAGGAAGCGAGGAACAGCUAAGUGAAGAAGAGCCACUCUCAUAAUUCUACGCUGCUGUGCUGAGAUGAAAUUAGAGCCACCCCAUUGUAUGCUGCUGAGCCCUUUGCCAUCAUGUCUCAGUGGCAGCAAAGAUGCAGUAUCCUCUCCUGGAACGACUUGGAGAUGCAAGUCUCACCUUCAAGGUGGCUUUUCCUUCGUUUUAACGCCGUGAUCUUCUGUGACAAUACUUUCCUAGGGAAUCAAAUCAUUAAAGAAUUCCAAUAAGCAGUUUUGCACAUCACUGGAGAUCUCUUAC